GAUGAACGCUGGCGGCGUGCCUAAUACAUGCAAGUCGAGCGAACGGACGAGAAGCUUGCUUUUCUGAUGUUAGCGGCGGACGGGUGAGUAACACGUGGAUAACCUACCUAUAAGACUGGGAUAACUUCGGGAAACCGGAGCUAAUACCGGAUAAUAUUUUGAACCGCAUGGUUCAAAAGUGAAAGACGGUCUUGCUGUCACUUAUAGAUGGAUCCGCGCUGCAUUAGCUAGUUGGUAAGGUAACGGCUUACCAAGGCAACGAUGCAUAGCCGACCUGAGAGGGUGAUCGGCCACACUGGAACGGAGACACGGUCCAGACUCCUACGGGAGGCAGCAGUAGGGAAUCUUCUGCAAUGGGCGAAAGCCUGACGGAGCAAGGCCGCGUGAGUGAUGAAGGUCUUCGGAUCGUAAAACUCUGUUAUUAGGGAAGAACAUAUGUGUAAGUAACUGUGCACAUCUUGACGGUACCUAAUCAGAAAGCCACGGCUAACUACGUG
rnacentral:rRNA from 1 species